rnacentral:lncRNA from 1 species
UCUAAUGAGUCUUAUGGGUUUUAAUCCUAAAUAAAAUAAAUAAAUAAAACAAAUAAAACAUAAAUUGCUAAAAUUUCAGAAAAAUAGUAAAAUGUUGUUUUCAGAAGUUAAACGAGCUUAAACGGCUUAAAAACGAAUACUCGCUGUAAGACCCCAAUUUUGUCCCUAAGAUCCCUCAUGACAUCAUAUCAUUGCAUUUCAUAGCCUCAAG